CCUCUCACAGACCCCCCCGCCGUGCUCGAGCGCGAGCGCCUCCUCGCUCCCUCAUCCAAGAAGCAGGCACGAACAGGCGCCACUCUCCCGCAGCUUGAUCCUGAGUGAGUCGAGCGAGCGCCUCCUCGCACCCUCGUCCACGAAGGAGGCAGCUCUCAAGGGCCCUUUUUCCCGCAGCGAACCCAGUGGGUCGAGCCAACCCCCCCGCCGGCGAUCUGCAGCAGGACCCCGCUGGAAGCAGCAACUCCAGCACAACAAUGGCGCCGCCCAUGGAUCUUAGAACUGUCGCCGUCACGCCCGCGUCAUUCGGAACCUUCACUGACGCCCGCCGUCGCGACCCUGCAUGUGCGUAUCAGCACCACAACAAUGGCGCCGCCCAGAUCUCAGAACUCCCGUCCUCAUGCCCGCGUCAUUCUCCGGAAUCUUCACCGACACCCGCCGUCGCAAUUCUGCAUGUGCGUGUUAGCAGGAGCAUCUCCCGCAUUGGCCUCGACCGCCUCUCGUCGUCUCCCUCUCUUCGAGUCACAGGCCGGCGGCGAGCUCGUAGAGGCAUGGAGGUCAGGCGGCCAUGGCUUCCUGCGAAGGAGGGAGAGAGAGAGAGAGAGGAAGGGAAGGAGAGGAGGGCAAGGUGGCGCGUUAGUCCGACGGCGGCACUCCGGUGGCUGGCCGGCGCGGGGCGGUUCGAGCGCGAGCCCGCGCGUGGAGGCGCUGGGUGCGGUCGGUGGUGGCAGACGCAGCGAAAGGGUGUUUUUUGUAAAAACAAAACGUUUUCUCAGAUUCAUUUAAAAAAGAACUGCGGGUUGAAUAUCCAAAAACAUAAGGGCUUUUCUGCAAAACUGUCACGACGUACCACCAGAAGCACUCCGUGCUUUUUUAUUAUUAUUAUUAUUAUUAUUAUUAUAUAUAAGGAGAAGAUAGAUAGAUUUCCGUCCGUGCGUGCGUGAUGGCUGAUGAAUGAAGAAGCGCAUAUGUGCGUGUAAAUUAACAAUCUCUGCCUUCUCUCGGCGGCGUGUGCUGUGCUGCCCGGUCGCUUAAAAGGCCAGCUGCUCCUUUUGCAGAAUAGAGUGAUCGUAGGCCUCUCUUGCUUUCUUCCCCAAAUUUGGUGCAAGCGAGCAACGACGAUCUCAACCUUCUCUGGUGGCACCGACCCACAAAGGUACCGUGUAAUCUUUGUAGGGGAUUAGAGCGGCGAUUGAUGUGUUUUGUUAGAGGGCUGACAUGACGGGUUGGAUAACUACGUUACGUGAGCAGAAAAAUUUGAUAAUACAGUUCCUUGAUAGUAGGGGUACUAGCAGAAUCCAUGUGGAUGGCAGACUAGCGAAGAUGUUGAAGAGAGGAACGUCUGCAGAGAUGAUCCUUCAUGUUUGUUCAAAAUUGCUUUAAAAUGGAUGCGGACAUGGUUGGAUGGUCGGCUCCUGCAUAACUGUCCGUUGAAUUGCUAGCGUAUGAAUUUCCUCGCCCUGUUUUCUCAAAAAAUAAAAUAAAAUUACUCGUCCUUCUUUCCUCUGUUCGUUGUUCAUCAUAGGACGGAGUUGCGCCUCUUCUUCCCAAAAUCCGGUGCGGGCGAGACCAGGAGGAAUGCGCCGGGUGCCCAGUGCCCAGGGUAGAAGCUCAGGCUCCCGCACGUGUCGGGCGUAUGCGGCUGCGGAAACGACGGCGAGCUUCUCCGUGCUGGUAGUGCUCUUGUUUGUGCUACAACAAGAUCUCAGCAUGAGUAGUGGUGCCCGUCUCACUAUUGUACACCGAUUGAUCAACAGGGAUCGAGGGUUUGUUGAUUAACACGAUAAUAAAAAUGAUAUUCCCAAA